GGGGAAGUGUCGGAAUUGGCAGACGAGCGUGACUUAGGAUCACGUGGAGUAAUCCGUGCGAGUUCAAAUCUCGCCUUCCCCA
rnacentral:tRNA from 1 species